UCGAUUCCCAAAAGUGUAAUGUAAAACCUUAAAUAGUGUAAUACGUUGAUCAACUUAGAUUACGAAACCUUAUUACGAAAAGAAAACAAAACUAUUAAAGAAAUAGAAAUCAUAAGUUACGAGGACAUGAAAAGUUGUGACCCGCUUGCUCCGCCGAGUCCGAGGGAGACUCCCACGUGAUUCCCUCGUGGACCGCACGUUCGCUACCUUAAUCCAAGGUCUUAAAUAAUCAUUUUCAUAAUACUGUAUACUAUGUAUCAAUGUAAUUUAGUUAAUUUAUCUCAAAAAUUGACACGAUAGCCAAUUGUGUUGUUACUCAAAGUAUUUGCCAUCAUCAAAUUUCUU